rnacentral:rRNA from 1 species
UACAGAGGGUGCGAGCGUUAAUCGGAAUUACUGGGCGUAAAGCGUGCGUAGACGGUUGUUUAAGUCAGAUGUGAAAGCCCCGGGCUCAACCUGGGAAUUGCAUUUGAGACUGAACAGCUAGGGUGCGGAAGAGGGAAGCGGAAUUUCCGGUGUAGCAGUGAAAUGCGUAGAUAUCGGAAGGAACAUCAGUGGCGAAAGCGGCUUCCUGGUCCAGCACCGACGUUCAGGCACGAAAGCGUGGGGAGCAAACAGG